rnacentral:rRNA from 1 species
CAGCAGCCGCGGUAAUACGUAGGUGGCAAGCGUUGCCCGGAAUUAUUGGGCGUAAAGGGCUCGCAGGCGGUUUCUUAAGUCUGAUGUGAAAGCCCCCGGCCCAACCGGGGAGGGUCAUUGGAAACUGGGAAACUUGAGUGCAGAAGAGGAGAGUGGAAUUCCACGUGUAGCGGUGAAAUGCGUAGAGAUGUGGAGGAACACCAGUGGCGAAGGCGACUCUCUGGUCUGUAACUGACGCUGAGGAGCGAAAGCGUGGGGAGCGAACAGGAUUAGAUACCCCAGUAGUCCCUGUCUCUUAUAA